rnacentral:tRNA from 1 species
GUUUUCGUAGCUCAGUUGGUUAGAGCACAUCACUCAUAAUGAUGGGGUCACAGGUUCGAAUCCCGUCGUAGCCACCA